rnacentral:rRNA from 1 species
UGGGGCGCAGCAGGCGAGAAAACUUUGCAAUGUGCGAAAGCACGACAAGGUUAAUCCGAGUGGUCUCUGCUAAAGGAACCUUUUGUCAGUCCUAGAAACACUAACGAAUAAGGGGUGGGCAAGUUCUGGUGUCAGCCGCCGCGGUAAAACCAGCACCUCAAGUGGUCAGGAUGAUUAUUGGGCCUAAAGCAUCCGUAGCCGGCUCUGUAAGUUUUCGGUUAAAUCUGUACGCUCAACGUACAGGCUGCCGGGAAUACUGCAGAGCUAGGGAGUGGGAGAGGUAGACGGUACUCGGUAGGAAGGGGUAAAAUCCUUUGAUCUAUUGAUGACCACCUGUGGCGAAGGCGGUCUACCAGAACACGUCCGACGGUGAGGGAUGAAAGCUGGGGGAGCAAACCGGAUUAGAUACCCGGGUAGUCCCAGCUGUAAACUAUGCAAACUCAGUGAUGCAUUGGCUUGUGGCCAAUGCAGUGCUGCAGGGAAGCCGUUAAGUUUGCCGCCUGGGAAGUACGUACGCAAGUAUGAAACUUAAAGGAAUUGGCGGGGGAGCACCACAAGGGGUGAAGCCUGCGGUUCAAUUGGAGUCAACGCCAGAAAUCUUACCCGGAGAGACAGCAGAAUGAAGGUCAAGCUGAAGACUUUACCAGACAAGCUGAGAGGUGGUGCAUGGCCGUCGCCAGCUCGUGCCGUGAGAUGUCCUGUUAAGUCAGGUAACGAGCGAGAUCCCUGCCUCUAGUUGCCACCAUUACUCUCAGGAGUAGUGGGGCGAAUUAGCGGGACCGCCGCAGUUAAUGCGGAGGAAGGAAGGGGCCACGGCAGGUCAGUAUGCCCCGAAACUCUGGGGCCACACGCGGGCUGCAAUGGUAAUGACAAUGGGUUCCAAAUCCGAAAGGAGGAGGUAAUCCUCAAACAUUACCACAGUUAUGACUGAGGGCUGCAACUCGCCCCCACGAAUAUGGAAUCCCUAGUAACUGCGUGUCAUUAUCGCGCGGUGAAUACGUCCCUGCUCCUUGCACACACCGCCCGUCGUUUCAUUGAAGUGAGCUUUUAGCGAGGUGACGUCUGAUUGGCGUUAUCGAACUUGAGGUUCGUGACAAGGGAAAAGUCGUAACAAGGUAACC